rfam:Mycoplasma hyopneumoniae J, complete genome.
UUACAGGAUUUUUUAAAAUCCAACCAACUAAUUUCACACAGGAUUAU